AAGUCGUAACAAGGUUUCCGUAGGGAAGGAUCAUUAACACGUAUCCAAACGUUAAAACAACCCUGUGAACCUCUUGCAGGACAUCAAAACAGCAGUCCCGAGUAAAUCAGGCUCUAAAGAAUUACAGAUUUUCAUUUUGGGAAGUUCUGUGAGUACGUGGACGCUGCAAUGGAGCGCUGCACCCUGGUACCCUAGAGCACUCCCCUGUCUGAAAGCGGCAGAUCAAUGUUCAGGGUGGCGCAGUCAACGAUCGCUGUAGGUCCACACGAGGUGGAGGCGAAAGCCCCUACGUCAUCCCUAUGUACCCUCCGGGACUUGGCGAAAGCUGACUUCGUCAUAAAUCGAACAACUGUUAACAAUGGAUAUCUUGGUUCUC
rnacentral:misc_RNA from 1 species